AACUUCGCAGGUUUUCUUCAUUAUUUACUCAGCUACAACAGCAGACCUCACCCAGCAGUUCUUCCUUGUGUCCACAUCAACCAGGAAGAGUUGGAUGACAGGAGCUGCGUGUUGACAAAAUGCAGCCAAUGAAAAUGAAGCCGUCCCGCACAUCAACCAAUAAUGUUUGAGGAAGGGUGUGGUGAUAAAGACAGACCAUCUUUGUCGAGUCCAAGGCCAGGACUAGUCCAGACCAAGUCCAGAGUCAUUAUCUAAAGAGAUCGUCACUCUAGAUGGCAUUACCUUGGGCUCCAGCCCCACUGUCAGGAAUCUUGGAGUUAUCUUUGAUCAGGAUAUGCCCUUCAACUCCCACAUAAAGCAAACCUCUAGGACUGCCUUUUUUCACUUAACAUAACAUUGCAAAUCCGACACAUCCUGUCACAGAGAGAUGCAGAAAAACUAAUCCAUGCAUUUGUUACUUCUAGGCUGGAUUACUGCAACUCUUUAUUAUCAGGUUGCCCCAAUAAGUCCAUUAAGACGUUACAAUUGAUUCAGAACGCUGCAGCACGAGUACUGACAUUAUAUUUCUCCUGUAUUAGUUUCUCUGCAUUGCAAUUUAAAAUCCUUGUUCGCACCUAUAAAGCUCUUUAUGGUCAGGCACCUUCAUAUCUUAAAGAGCUCAUAGUACCUUAUUACCCCUCUAGAAAACUAUGUUCUCUGAAAUGCAGGGCUACUUGUGGUUCCUAUAGCUUCCAGUUUGGGUUCGGGAGGCAGACACCCUCUCCACAUUUAAGAGUAGGCUUAACACGUUCCACUUUGAUAAAGCUUAUAGUUAGGGCUGGAUCAGGUGAGUCCUGAACCAUCCCUUAGUUAUGCUGCUAUAGGCCUACAUUCAUGUUCCAUUAAUGCAUGUUACUAACUUCACUUCUUCUCCAGAGUUUUUGUACUUUCUUGUCUCACAGGUUCUCAUGGAUCCUGGUUGUGCCUGCUGCCGUGGUCCUGCUUGACUUUCAUUCUUCUUCUUCUUCUUCUUCUCCUUCUUUUUCUUCUUCUUCUUCUUCUUCUUAUUAAUA